rnacentral:tRNA from 1 species
UGCCCUCUCGUCUAAUGGUAGGACGCUUGGCUCUGGACCAAGUAGUCGUGGUUCGAAUCCACGGGGGGCAGCCA